rnacentral:rRNA from 1 species
CGAUGGCUGUCGUCAGCUCGUGUCGUGAGAUGUUGGGUUAAGUCCCGCAACGAGCGCAACCCUCGUCUUUAGUUGCCAUCAUUAAGUUGGGCACUCUAGAGAGACUGCCGUGGACAACACGGAGGAAGGUGGGGACGACGUCAAGUCAUCAUGCCCCUUACGUCUUGGGCUACACACGUCCUACAAUGCUACGGACAGAGGGCAGCAAGCUAGCGAUAGCAAGCAAAUCCCAUAAACCGUAGCUCAGUUCAGAUUGCAGGCUGCAACUCGCCUGCAUGAAGGCGGAAUCGCUAGUAAUCGCAGGUCAGCAUACUGCGGUGAAUACGUUCCCGGGCCUU